rnacentral:rRNA from 1 species
CAAGUCGAGGGGCAGCAUUUCUAGCUUGCUAGAAGAUGGCGACCGGCGCACGGGUGAGUAACGCGUAUGCAACCUACCUUAUACUGGGGGAUAGCCCAGAGAAAUCUGGAUUAAUACCGCAUAACAAUGUUUUGUCGCAUGGCAGAAUAUUUAAAACUCCGGUGGUAUAAGAUGGGCAUGCGUAGCAUUAGUUAGUUGGUGAGGUAACGGCUCACCAAGACGAUGAUGCUUAGGGGGUCUGAGAGGAUAGUCCCCCACACUGGUACUGAGACACGGACCAGACUCCUACGGGAGGCAGCAGUGAGGAAUAUUGGUCAAUGGACGCAAGUCUGAACCAGCCAUGUCGCGUGCAGGAUGACGGCCCUAUGGGUUGUAAACUGCUUUUUUACAGGAAUAAUUGUCUCUACGUGUAGAGAUUUGAAUGUACUGUAUGAAUAAGGAUCGGCUAACUCCGUGCCAGCAGCCGCGGUAAAUACGGAGGAUUCGAGCGUUAUCCGGAUUUAUUGGGUUUAAAGGGUCCGUAGGCGGUCUUUUAAGUCAGUGGUGAAAUCCCAGAGCUCAACUCUGGAACUGCCAUUGAAACUGAAAGACUUGAAUAUGGUUGAGGUAGGCGGAAUACGUUAUGUAGCGGUGAAAUGCAUAGAUAUAACGUAGAACACCAAUUGCGAAGGCAGCUUACUAAACCAUUAUUGACGCUGAUGGACGAAAGCGUGGGGGAGCGAACAGGAUUAGAUACCCUGGUAGUCCACGCCGUAAACGAUGAUUACUCGUUGUGCACAAUACACCGUGCGUGACUGAGCGAAAGCAUUAAGUAAUCCACCUGGGGAGUACGUUCGCAAGAAUGAAACUCAAAGGAAUUGACGGGGGCCCGCACAAGCGGAGGAACAUGUGGUUUAAUUCGAUGAUACGCGAGGAACCUUACCUGGACUUAAAUGUAGAUUGACCGGUUUAGAAAUAGAUCUUUCCUUCGGGACAAUUUACAAGGUGCUGCAUGGUUGUCGUCAGCUCGUGCCGUGAGGUGUCGGGUUAAGUCCCAUAACGAGCGCAACCCCUAUCGUUAGUUGCUAGCAGGUAAUGCUGAGGACUCUAGCGAGACUGCCACCGUAAGGUGAGAGGAAGGUGGGGAUGACGUCAAAUCAGCACGGCCCUUACGUCCAGGGCUACACACGUGUUACAAUGGCCAGUACAAAGGGCAGCUACCAGGUGACUGGAUGCUAAUCUCAAAAGCUGGUCUCAGUUCGGAUCGGAGUCUGCAACUCGACUCCGUGAAGUUGGAUUCGCUAGUAAUCGUAUAUCAGCAAUGAUACGGUGAAUACGUUCCCGGGCCUUGUACACACCGCCCGUCAAGCCAUGGAAGCCGAGGGUGCCUGAAGUCGGUUACCGUAAGGAGCG